GUCGUCGUGGUCGAGUGGUUAAAGCGAUGGAUUAGAAAUCCAUUGGGGUCUCCCCGCAUAUGUUCGAAUCCUAUCGACGACG